AUAUUAAUAAGGGGAGGAAAAGAAACUAACAAGGAUUCCCCUAGUAACGGCGAGUGAAGCGGGAUAAGCUCAAUUUGAAGAUCGACUACCUAACGGGUCGUCGAGUUGUAUCCUAUAGACGUACUAUCAGCUGUAAUCUGGGUAUAAGUUCUUUGGAAUGAGGUGCGAAACAGGGUGACAGCCCCGUAUACGACCUAAAGAUUAUAGCGUACGAUGUAUGUUCUUCGAGUCGAGUUGUCUGGGAUUGCAGCUCUAAAUGGGUCGUAAGUAUGAUCUAAAGCUAAAUAAUGGCGAGAGACCGAUAGCGCACAAGUA
rnacentral:rRNA from 1 species